GGGGAAUUUUCCGCAAUGGGCGAAAGCCUGACGGAGCACUAUCGCGUGGAGGAAGACGGCUCGUGAGUUGUAAACUCCUUUUGUCAGAGAAGAAAAAUGACGGUAUCUGACGAAUAAGCACCGGCUAAACUCUGUGCCAGCAGCCGCGGUAAUACAGGGGAUGCAAGCGUUAUCCGGAAUGAUUGGGCGUAAAGCGUCCGCANGUGGUUGCUCAAGUCUGCUGUCAAAGAGUCUGGCUCAACCAGAUAAAGGCAGUGGAAACUGAUCGACUAUAGUGUGGUAGGGGCAGAGGGAAUUCCUGGUGUAGCGGUGAAAUGCGUAGAGAUCAGGAAGAACACCGGUGGCGAANNNGCUCUGCUGGACCGCAACUGACACUNNNGGACGAAAGCUAGGGGAGCGAAUGGGAUUAGAUACCCCAGUAGUC
rnacentral:rRNA from 1 species